UCCAUAUAUCAAUGGAUUUUCUCAAUCAACUACAUAUAAAGAUUUCAUCUUCUGCAUCUUCUUCAUCUUCAUCGUUCUUUUCAUCAAUCUAUUUCGGUUUUUUUUCGUUAAUCCAUAUCGACAUCUGUUUCCAAUAUGCCUGGGUCUUCCUCAUUAAGUAUCAGAGAACCCUGUUUCUGUAGGCAUAUGAAUAAAGCAGACGAGAUUAUUCUGUCUAUUCAUUCUGAUGCUGCUUGCAAGCUGUGGGGUGUUGAUAAAGGCCCUACAAAUGUUAUGAUACAUACUGAUGAUGGCCGCAUUCUUAAUGUUUUUUUAAGCGAAUCUAAAGGAAAUUUGUUCUUUUUCCAUGGAUGGUCCAAUGUAACCCAACAUUUGGGACUAUCCAAAGGAUGUUUUGUAGUAUUCAAUCCCCUCGAUUGUACUACGUUACAUUAACACAUUUCAUUGAUGGUGUUAGUGGUAGCUCUUUUUGGACAUAUCUGCUACGUACGUCAUCUCAUUUUUGUGUAAUACCUGAAGUUAUCCUGCCAGAAACCUUUUCUACAUCCAUUGAUGUAAUAUCCACUAUAAUGAUACACAACAAUCCGUUUCAUGUUGGGAUUGAAAUGGAUGACGGUAAAUUCGGUUUUACCGUUGGUAUUGACGUUAUUGUUAGUUUGUUACAUUUAGAGCCUGGUUGUUUUUUGAUAUUUACAAAAUAUUUUGGUAAUUAUUUUAAUUUAAAAGUAUUUGGAAAAAACGGUGUUGAAAAGAACUUUCUUGAUGUAGAGGUUGAUGUGGUAAGGUUACAUUUUGUUACUUAUAUGUUAUUUAUACAUUUUUUCAUUUAAUAAAUUGUAAUAAAUGUUUUAUUUAAUUUGCAGCCUUUACUUCCUCCUAUUGAUGCUGUGAAUGAAAUUUAUGAAGAACCACAUAGUCGUGUGUAUCGGUUUUCCCGUA